rnacentral:lncRNA from 1 species
UGAAAGGAGUUCACCAGAUCUUUUUGUGAUGUGGUGCUGAAGCAUUAUCCUGGGACAGCAGUAAUGAUUGAUGAAUACACUUCAGGCUUGAGUCAUAGAGCAGCAUGA